UCUCCGUAGGUGAACCUGCGGAGGGAUCAUUACAGAGUUCUCGCCCUCGCGGGUAGAUCUCCCACCCACUGUUAUCGUUACUGUGUUGCUUUGGCGGGCCGCCGGGCCCCGCUCGGCCGCCGGCUCCGGCUGGCGCGCGCCCGCCAGAGGCCCAGCAAACUCUGAAUGUUAGUGUCGUCUGAGUACUAUAUAAUAGUUAAAGCUUUCAACAACGGAUCUCUUGGUUCUG
rnacentral:misc_RNA from 1 species